UGCACCUUUGCGAAAGGGGAGGGCGCAGGCGAGGAGUCCAAGUCAGAGUAGAUACUUAGAGCUUUGAAAUUUCAACUUGCCGGUGAGGCGUGUGCUAUUGAGGUUUAAAUUGCCAAAGAAAGUGGUCAGUCUUGCUGUUGCUUCAACAAAUCCUCUCAAACGACCCCCCUUUGACUUGAGUAGGCGUAGUGGUCAAGUUGACUGGCUGGUGGCGAGACCGGCCUGUGGUUGAGGGGAUUAGAGGGAGCACGAGAGGGGCGCGCCAUGUUCGCCCCCUGCUCGGGCUGGGGGUUGGGCCGCCUCCGGCUCAGCCAGCUCCGAGUUGGGGCCGGCAGAGCUGCGGGUAGUUGGGCGUGUCGGGCUGGUUCGGCCCGGGAGUACGGCUCAGGUGGGGACCAGCGCCAUCCUGGGUCCGAGCCCACAGUCUCUCGGCCAGGCCUUGCGCGCCAGGCUCUGAAGGAGUGGGCGCUGCUAGUGAGCCCGUUCGGUCGGCUGCGGGCGCGGCUUCCGUGCCAUUUGGCCGUGAGGCCCCUGGACCCCCUCUCCUACCCCGACGGUGACCGUGUGCUGGUCGCGGUGAGAUCAGCGGAAGGCGGGGCGCGGGGCCUGGCCGGCCUGCAGGUGAAAUACGACGAGGCGCUGAAGGAGGUAACCAUCGUGUCUGACACCAUCGACCCCCAGGCGUCCGUGGAGGUGAACGCGCCCCUGAAGUUUGAUUUGAAUAUCAAGUCAUCAGGGUCUGGCUGUGUAAAAGUCCAAAAUAUUGAGUGUGAUAAUUGCAAAAUUGAAACUGAGCAGGGGACUGGCAUCUUACAGUCUGUUAAGAGUCAAAAAUUACAUGUUCAAACAAAAGGAGGCAAAGUGAUCUGUCUGGGAACAGUUUAUGGAAAUAUAAAUAUUCAUGCAUCAGAUAAAAGUACUGUGACCAUAGAUAAACUGCAGGGAAGUACAGUUAAUAUAUCUACUGAAGAUGGUUUGCUGGAAGCCAAGUAUCUUUAUACAGAAUCAUCAUUUCUGUCUUCUGCUGCUGGGGAUAUUACAUUAGGAAGUGUUCAUGGCAAUAUAACAUUACACAGCAACAUGGGCAACAUCACAGUAGAUUCAUCCUCUGGAUGUCUAAAGGCCUCAACUCAUCUGGGUGCAAUAGAUGUUUACGUCAGCCAACUAGGGAAAGUGGAGUUAAAAUCUCAUGAAGGCUCUAUUCUUGUCAAGGUCGCAUCUUCUCUUCAAGCUCGUUUAGAGUUAUCAGGGAAAGAGGUUGACGUGAACUCAGAAGUCCAUGUUCAAGAAAUGGCUGAAGCUCAUAAAGAUGAUGGUGUAAUAAUUACUGGUACCUCAAAAUCCUGACCUACCAAAUGCAGCACAGGCACGAAAAGAAGAACAUUAAAAUUGACAUAGCUGAACUCCUUAAUGACAAGUUGGAGGAAAAAGAGAAGCUUCUGUGAAAUAACAAAAUUCAGCCAGGGCUCAUGAAUCAAGCAAGCAAACAUGAAAAAUGGAUUAAGGCCGAUGCCCCAAAAGGCACUAUAAAUUUUAGAAGUCAAAGCUGGUUUCAGUCCCUGAAACUGCAGGACUAAGAAUGGUUUGAAUUUUAUUUAUAAUUUUUAACAAUGAUCAGCAGAUCUAAGACUACAAAAAUGCAAAUACCACAGUUCAUAUAAAUGUUGAAAACAAUUUAGAAUGAAUACUAGUGAAUUGUCUUGUGGAGACCUUUUCAAAAUUUGUACUUAGCUAUUGUAUUCGUUUUUUGUUGCCCUGCAAUAAAUUACCAUAAACGUAACCAACUUAAAAUAGCAUUUACUUACUAGCUCACAGUUCUGUAGGUGAAGAGCUCUGCAUAGCUAGGCUCUCUCCUCAAGGUGCACAAGUCUGGACUCAAGUUCUCAUCUAGAUCCUCUGGAGGGAAAAAAAAUCUACUUUCAAGCUUAUUCAUAUUGUUGGCAAAAUCCAUUUCCUUGUGACUAUGACUGAGGUCUCUCUUUUCUUGCUGUCCAUCGGUAAUCACUCUAAGCUUCUAGAGGCCACUUGUAUUCCUUCUCAUGUGGCCCUCUCCAUCUUAAAGCCAGCACUUGCUUCUUGUGCACUGAAUAUCCGACCUCUUCUGCAACCAGCUGGAGAAACUGCUUUUAAAGGGUUUGCUUGAUUAGAUCAGGCCUUCCCAGAAUAAUCUUUGUUUUGCUCUGUGAUGUAACAUAAUCAUGGGAGUGCUCGCUCAUCAUAUUUACAAUUUCCAUUUAUACCCAAGAAGAGAAGAUUAUACAAAAGCAUAGGUCAUGGGCGGCAGUUAUCUUGUAAAGACGCAUUUCUUUCACUUUAGCUCUCUUGUAACAUGUUAGUAUUUCUUAUGACAUCAAUGUAAAUGUAAGCUGUCAAUAAAAUACAUCAUAAAAAUGA